rnacentral:rRNA from 1 species
UACAGAGGUCUCAAGCGUUGUUCGGAUUCAUUGGGCGUAAAGGGUGUGUAGGUGGCGCCGUAAGUCGGGUGUGAAAUUUCGGAGCUUAACUCCGAAACUGCAUUCGAUACUGCGGUGCUUGAGGACUGGAGAGGAGACUGGAAUUCAUGGUGUAGCAGUGAAAUGCGUAGAGAUCAUGAGGAAGACCAGUGGCGAAGGCGGCCAUCUGGACGGAUACUGACGCUGAGACGCGGAAGCGUGGGGAGCAAACAGG